CGGGGUGCACCAGGCGCGAAAACUUUACAAUGCUGGCAACAGCGAUAAGGGGACCUCGAGUGCCAGGAUACAAUCUUGGCUGUCGCGAUGCCUAAAAAGCAUUGCAUAGCAAGGGCCGGGCAAGACCGGUGCCAGCCGCCGCGGUAACACCGGCGGCUCGAGUGGUAACCGCUAUUAUUGGGUCUAAAGGGUCUGUAGCCGGCCGGAUAAGUCUUUUGGGAAAUCCAGCUGCUCAACAGUUGGGCUUUCAGAAGAUACUGUUCGGCUCGAGACCGGGAGAGGUGAGAGGUACUUCAGGGGUAGGGGUGAAAUCUUGUAAUCCUUGAAGGACCACCAGUGGCGAAGGCGUCUCACCAGAACGGAUCUGACGGCAAGGGACGAAAGCUAGGGGCACGAACCGGAUUAGAUACCCGGGUAGUCCUAGCCGUAAACGAUACUCGCUAGGUGUCAGCCACGGUGCGACCGUGGUUGGUGCCGUAGGGAAGCCGUGAAGCGAGCCACCUGGGAAGUACGGCCGCAAGGCUGAAACUUAAAGGAAUUGGCGGGGGAGCACAAGGGCGAAUGC
rnacentral:rRNA from 1 species